CACGUAGGGCGCAAGCGUUGUCCGGAUUUAUUGGGCGUAAAGAGCGUGUAGGCGGCCUGACAGGUCUGCUGUGAAAACUCGAGGCUCAACCUCGAGACGCCGAUGGAAACCAUCUGACUAGAGUCCGGAAGAGGAGAGUGGAAUUCCUGGUGUAGCGGUGAAAUGCGCAGAUAUCAGGAAGAACACCCGUGGCUAAGGCGGCUCUCUAGUACGGUACUGACGCUGAGACGCGAAAGCGUGGGGAGCGAACAGG
rnacentral:rRNA from 1 species